UCAGUCGGCUCGAAGGACGAACGCUGGCGGCGUGCUUCAAACAUGCAAGUCGAACGGAGUAGUUUUGAAGGCUUGCCUUUAAAACUACUUAGUGGCGGACUGGUGAGUAACGCGUGAAUAAUCUGCCUAUCACAGGGGGACAACAGUUGGAAACGACUGCUAAUACCGCAUAAUGUAUUCGGGGGGCAUCCUCUGGAUACCAAAGCUUUAUGUGCUGAAAGAUGGUCUUGCGUCUGAUUAGCUAGAUGGCGGGGUAACGGCCCACCAUGGCGACGAUCAGUAGCCGGUCUGAGAGGAUGAACGGCCACAUUGGGACUGAGAUACGGCCCAGACUCCUACGGGAGGCAGCAGUGGGGAAUAUUGCACAAUGGGGGAAACCCUGAUGCAGCGACGCCGCGUGAACGAUGAAGUAUUUCGGUAUGUAAAGUUCUAUCAGCAGGGAAGAUAAUGACGGUACCUGACUAAGAAGCACCGGCUAAAUACGUG
rnacentral:rRNA from 1 species